rnacentral:tRNA from 1 species
UGACUCAGUUGGUAGAGCAUGGUGUUUGCAACGCCAUGGUUGUGGGUUUGAUUCCCAC